rnacentral:rRNA from 1 species
GAUGAACGCUGGCGGCGUGCCUAAUACAUGCAAGUCGAGCGGACAGACGAGGAGCUUGCUCCUCUGACGUUAGCGGCGGACGGGUGAGUAACCCGUGGAUGACCAACCUAGCAGACUAGGAUAACUUCGAGAAACCGGAGCUAAUACCGGAUAAUAGAAUGAACCGCAGGGUGCACUAGUGACAGACGGUUUUGCUGGCACGUAUAGAUGUAUCCGCGCCGCAUUAGCGAGGUGGUAAGGUAACGGCUUACCACGACAAUGAUGCGUAGCCAACCUGAGAGGGGGUUCGGACACAGUGGAACUGGGACACGGUCCAGACUCCUACGGGAGGCCGCAGUAGGGAACCUUCCGAGACGGGAGAAAGCAUGACGGAGCAACGCCGCGUGAGUGAUGAAGGUCUUCCGAUCGUAAAACUCUGUUACUAGGGAAGAACAAAUGCGUAAGCCACUAUGCACGUAUUGACGGUACCUGAUCAGUAAGCCUCGGCUAACUACGUG